UACAGAGGUCUCGAGCGUUAGGCGGAAUCACUGGGCUUAAAGCGUGUGUAGGCGGGUCGUUAAGUACCUUGUGAAAUCCCAUGGCUCAACCAUGGAACUGCUGGGUAUACUGGCGAUCUUGUGCAACCUAGGGGCGAGCGGAACAGAUGGUGGAGCGGUGAAAUGCGUAGAUAUCAUCUGGAACGCCAAUGGUGAAAACAGCUCGCUGGGGGUUUGCAGACGCUGAGACACGAAAGCCAGGGGAGCGAACGGG
rnacentral:rRNA from 1 species